rnacentral:rRNA from 1 species
GUUGUAUGGUUAAGUGACUAAGCGUACACGGUGGAUGCCUGGGCAGUCAGAGGCGAUGAAGGACGUACUAACUUGCGAUAAGCGCAGAUAAGGCAGUAAGAGCCGUUUGAGUCUGCGAUUUCCGAAUGGGGAAACCCAACUGCAUAAGCAGUUACUGUUAACUGAAUACAUAGGUUAACAGAGCAAACCGGGGGAACUGAAACAUCUAAGUACCCCGAGGAGAAGAAAUCAACCGAGAUUCCGGUAGUAGCGGCGAGCGAACCUGGAUUAGCCCUUAAGCACUCGGUGAAGUAGGUGAACAAGCUGGAAAGCUUGGCGAUACAGGGUGAUAGCCCCGUAACCGACGCUUCAUCGAGCGUGAAAUCGAGUAGGGCGGGACACGUGAUAUCCUGUCUGAAUAUGGGGGGACCAUCCUCCAAGGCUAAAUACUCCUGACUGACCGAUAGUGAACCAGUACCGUGAGGGAAAGGCGAAAAGAACCCCUGUGAGGGGAGUGAAAUAGAACCUGAAACCGUGUACGUACAAGCAGUAGGAGCACCUUCGUGGUGUGACUGCGUACCUUUUGUAUAAUGGGUCAGCGACUUAUAUUCAGUGGCAAGGUUAACCGUAUAGGGGAGCCGUAGCGAAAGCGAGUCUUAACUGGGCGCUCAGUCUCUGGAUAUAGACCCGAAACCGGGUGAUCUAGCCAUGGGCAGGUUGAAGGUUGAGUAACAUCAACUGGAGGACCGAACCGACUAAUGUUGAAAAAUUAGCGGAUGACUUGUGGCUAGGGGUGAAAGGCCAAUCAAACUCGGAGAUAGCUGGUUCUCCCCGAAAGCUAUUUAGGUAGCGCCUCGGACGAAUACUACUGGGGGUAGAGCACUGUUAAGGCUAGGGGGUCAUCCCGACUUACCAACCCUUUGCAAACUCCGAAUACCAGUAAGUACUAUCCGGGAGACACACGGCGGGUGCUAACGUCCGUCGUGGAGAGGGAAACAACCCAGACCGCCAGCUAAGGUCCCAAAGUAUUGCUAAGUGGGAAACGAUGUGGGAAGGCUCAGACAGCUAGGAUGUUGGCUUAGAAGCAGCCAUCAUUUAAAGAAAGCGUAAUAGCUCACUAGUCGAGUCGGCCUGCGCGGAAGAUGUAACGGGGCUAAGCAAUACACCGAAGCUGCGGCAAUGUCUUUUAGACAUUGGGUAGGGGAGCGUUCUGUAAGCCGUUGAAGGUGAAUCGUAAGGUUUGCUGGAGGUAUCAGAAGUGCGAAUGCUGACAUGAGUAACGACAAAGGGGGUGAAAAACCUCCUCGCCGGAAGACCAAGGGUUCCUGUCCAACGUUAAUCGGGGCAGGGUGAGUCGACCCCUAAGGUGAGGCCGAAAGGCGUAAUCGAUGGGAAACGGGUUAAUAUUCCCGUACUUCUGACUAUUGCGAUGGGGGGACGGAGAAGGCUAGGUGGGCCAGGCGACGGUUGUCCUGGUUCAAGUGCGUAGGCUUGAGAGUUAGGUAAAUCCGGCUCUCUCUAAGGCUGAGACACGACGUCGAGCUACUACGGUAGUGAAGUCAUUGAUGCCAUGCUUCCAGGAAAAGCCUCUAAGCUUCAGAUAGUCAGGAAUCGUACCCCAAACCGACACAGGUGGUCGGGUAGAGAAUACCAAGGCGCUUGAGAGAACUCGGGUGAAGGAACUAGGCAAAAUGGUACCGUAACUUCGGGAGAAGGUACGCUCUUGAUGGUGAAGUCCCUCGCGGAUGGAGCUGACGAGAGUCGCAGAUACCAGGUGGCUGCAACUGUUUAUUAAAAACACAGCACUGUGCAAAAUCGCAAGAUGACGUAUACGGUGUGACGCCUGCCCGGUGCCGGAAGGUUAAUUGAUGGGGUUAGCGCAAGCGAAGCUCUUGAUCGAAGCCCCGGUAAACGGCGGCCGUAACUAUAACGGUCCUAAGGUAGCGAAAUUCCUUGUCGGGUAAGUUCCGACCUGCACGAAUGGCGUAAUGAUGGCCACGCUGUCUCCACCCGAGACUCAGUGAAAUUGAAAUCGCUGUGAAGAUGCAGUGUACCCGCGGCUAGACGGAAAGACCCCGUGAACCUUUACUACAGCUUGGCACUGAACAUUGAACCUACAUGUGUAGGAUAGGUGGGAGGCUAUGAAGACGUGACGCCAGUUGCGUUGGAGCCGUCCUUGAAAUACCACCCUUGUAUGUUUGAUGUUCUAACUUAGACCCAUUAUCUGGGUUGAGGACAGUGCCUGGUGGGUAGUUUGACUGGGGCGGUCUCCUCCCAAAGAGUAACGGAGGAGCACGAAGGUGGGCUAAUCACGGUUGGACAUCGUGAGGUUAGUGCAAUGGCAUAAGCCCGCUUAACUGCGAGAAUGACGGUUCGAGCAGGUGCGAAAGCAGGUCAUAGUGAUCCGGUGGUUCUGUAUGGAAGGGCCAUCGCUCAACGGAUAAAAGGUACUCCGGGGAUAACAGGCUGAUACCGCCCAAGAGUUCAUAUCGACCGGCGGUGUUUGGCACCUCGAUGUCGGCUCAUCACAUCCUGGGGCUGAAGUCGGUCCCAAGGGUAUGGCUGUUCGCCAUUUAAAGUGGUACGCGAGCUGGGUUUAGAACGUCGUGAGACAGUUCGGUCCCUAUCUGCCGUGGGCGUUGGAAGAUUGAAGGGGGCUGCUCCUAGUACGAGAGGACCGGAGUGGACGAACCUCUGGUGUUCGGGUUGUGUCGCCAGACGCAUUGCCCGGUAGCUAAGUUCGGAAUUGAUAAGCGCUGAAAGCAUCUAAGCGCGAAGCGAGCCCUGAGAUGAGUCUUCCCUGACAGUUUAACUGUCCUAAAGGGUUGUUCGAGACUAGAACGUUGAUAGGCAGGGUGUGUAAGCGUUGUGAGGCGUUGAGCUAACCUGUACUAAUUGCCCGUGAGGCUUAACCAUACAACACCCAAGGGGUUUUGUA